rnacentral:rRNA from 1 species
AAGUCGUAACAAGGUUUCCGUAGGUGAACCUGCGGAAGGAUCAUUACCGAACCGUCGACACGAGUUGUUGCUGGUCCUCAAAUGGGGGCAUGUGCACACUCUGUUUACUCAUCCACUCACACCUGUGCACCCACUGUAGUUCUGUGGCUUGGGGGGCUCUGUCCUCUUUGCUGUGGUUCUAUGUCUUUACACACACACUGUAAUAAAGUUUCAUGGAAUGCAUGACGCGUCUAACGCAAUACGAUACAACUUUCAGCAACGGAUCUCUUGGCUCUCGCAUCGAUGAAGAACGCAGCGAAAUGCGAUAAGUAAUGUGAAUUGCAGAAUUCAGUGAAUCAUCGAAUCUUUGAACGCACCUUGCGCCCUCUGGCUAUUCCAGAGGGCAUGCCUGUUUGAGUAUCAUGAACACCUCAACUCUCAUGGUUUUGCCGUGAUGAGCUUGGACUUUGGGGGUCUUGCUGGCCUGUGGUCAGUUCCUCUCAAACGAAUCAGCUUGCCAGUGUCUGGUGGCAUCACAGGUGUGAUAACUAUCUACGCUUGUGGUUUUCCACCAGGUAACCUUCAGUGAUGGAGGUUCGCUGGAGCUCAUAAAUGUCCCUCCUCAGCGAGGACAGCUUCUUGAAUGUUUGAUCUCAAAUCAGGUAGGGCUACCCGCUGAACUUAAGCAUAUCAAUAAGCGGAGGA